UGCAAGUCAGCAAAACUGGGUGAAUGUCGGCGAAUUGGGUAAUUGGUCGUGGCUUUGGAACUGUCAUUAGACAUCGUGACUUCGAAGAGAGAUCUAACUUCUAUGAUGCUUUCUUGCUGCUGAUCACGUGCCAUUCUGGAAGGAAAGGGAUCCAUUCUUUGCCAAGGACCUCCAGUGAUGCAUAUAACUGACUUGACCACGCGUUUGCAAAAUUUUAAUUAUACUGGAUUUUGUUUCUUAUUUGAAGCUUAGAAAGUGUAACUCAAGUCUAAACUGUUUUCUUAUGUUUCAUAUUAUUGGCAUGCGCCAAGAAAGCCAAAGAUUUCAUGCCUUUCCUGCAUAGAAGUAGAAGAGUUCCUGCUGUAGUGGAAUAUGUCGUCAGUGGCACCAGUUUCAAGUGUCUGAUUGCCUAAAGGAACUUGCGUAUUCAAUUUGCAAUUUCUCUGAUUCAGAGUCCUGGUCGUGAGAGCCAUAUUUAUGAGCAAUUCUGCAUAGCGGGAGAAAUGCAAGAGAUGUGAGUAAUUUAGUUGCCUUUCUGAGCUAGAUUCCUGAGUCCGGGUGAGUUUAUUUUACGUUAAAAUUUUAAUUCUGGAAAAAAAAAAAAAAAAAAAAAAAAAAAAAGAUUGAGUAGAAACUGUUCGAUAGACUGGAACAUUCUUGGGAUCCUUUGGGAUCGAAACAACGGGGUUUCGGUGCGCUACUNNNNNNNNNNNNNNNNNNNNNNNNNUUAUUUCUGAAAUUUUUCAGGUGGUUGAAGGUGUGAGUGGAGAUUGCGUCCAUUGUAUGCUUGAUGAUUCUAUUUCCAUAUGGCAGCCGCACAAGCUGAAGAGGCAGUUAACCUUUCAAGUAUUAGGUGUCCAAAAAUGGGCAUCCUCGUCGAGUGAAAAAAACCAGCUCCUAUGGCACGUGACAAGCAAAGAAUUCUUGAGAACACGCCUCCAAUCGGUCAUCAAGUACGAAGAUAUCUGUGGGACCUUCUUUUAAUAUCAUUGAUGAUUUUAGCUACAAUUGAUUCCUCUAUUUUCAGGUGAAUGUACAAAUGGAAUAUUCUAGGAAGGUUGGUCCAGUGAUGCAGCUGGAGCUCCAUUGGGAGCUGGUGAUAGAGUAAUGGAUUUUGGAUCAGUCUUCCUAUUGUCUCAGGAAAGCUGACAAUGACCAAGCCCCUUCAGCUGCUGCUCCUGCAAGUCAGCAAAACUGGGUUGAAUGUCGGCGAAUUGGUAAUUGGUCGUGGCUUUGGAACUGUCAUUAGACAUCGUGACUUCGAAGAGAGAUCUACAUUCUAUGAUGCUCUUCUUGCCUUGCUGAAUCACGUGCCAUUUCUGGAAGGAAAGGAUCCAUUCUUGCCAAGGAUCCUCCAGUGAUGCAUAUAACUGACUUGACCACG
rnacentral:lncRNA from 1 species